CAAACUAGCAGUUUAAAGCAAUGAAUGUUUAUCUCACAGGUUUUGUGGGUUAGGAAUUCAGGAGCAAUUUAGCUGGGUGCUUCUGGCUUGGUGUCUUUCGAAUCAUGCUGUGGGCCAGGGCAGAAGUCAGUGAAACGUGACUGGGGCUGGAGGUUCCUCUUCCAGGCUCAUUCAUGCAGCUGUCGUCCAGAAACUGCCGUGGCACCAUCUCCUUCAGGCUUCGCACAGCAUGGCUUCCCUCACUGUUCUAAUCUCCGAAAUGGCACGCUUUCACUUCGUCUCUCUUCUCUUUGUAAGGAGCCAGUCACUUAAGUCCAGCCCAUGCUCAGGAGGAAGGAAGGCAGCCACCAUGUAAGUGGAAGUCCCCCGGAGAGUCAGUAGAAGGGAAGAAUGGCUUGAUUCCUGCCCCCAUCUCUCGGCCAAAGGAUCCUGAGGAAAGCAAUGCUAACUCUUGGCAGAAGGGACAUCCAGCAAUCAGCCAUCUCUCUUGCAAGUGUUCUGGACUUCUCUAUUAAAAAACAGCCUGUUCAGCCAGCAUGUGUCACUGUGUCAUAUUCUGAGGUAGAAAUGGGCUUCCCUGGUGGCUCAGAUGGUAAAGAAUUUGCCUGCAAUGCAGGAAAUGCAGCCUUGAUCCCUGGGUUGGGAAGAUAUAUAAAUGGUCACAACAGCAAGUGGGGGAUCAUUGAGCUUGACACAUUUCAGAUGACUACACGGGGCCAACGCAGCAGCCCCACCCUCCAUGCUGGUGUGUUGUAUAUGAGAUGUGUCCAUGGAGCAUGGGAGCUUAAUGUCCCCUGACUGUCAGUCUCAUAUCAAUGUGGCUGCUAGAUUGCUGCAUUUCCAGCAACCCAUUUGGAUUAAAGAACCUCGAAACGCCCAUGUUGGGAUCUCUAUGUGACAGCAUUGAGAGUGUCAUCUGAAGGCAGCAGGAAGUCUGACAGUCACUAAACUUGUUUUAGAAGCUAGAAAUUCUACCAUUUGUGAAGAUGAAGGCAGUUUGAACCUUUCUGGAUGAAUGCUGCAGUUUGUUUUUGGAACUGAACCUCUGACCUUCCUGAAGGACUGUCUCUUUGGGUACACUUAGAGGCUUCCUCCUGAAGAAAUAGUCAACCUGAGGAUUAAGUCUAGAGGAGGAAAGACACUGGUGUUAGGCUGCCAGCGUGUUCUGAUAUUUGACACCUUAAAAGACAACACCCCACGCCACCUCUGGACACAUAAUUAGCCUUUGUUCUGUGGCCUUGUCUUAAGCUACCAUCCCAUCUCUCUUUUUCCUGUGUUUGUUCUUAGCAAGCCUUGAAAUACUCUUCUGGAACUGCUGUCUCCACUUCAUCAUCUAAUUCACUCUUGGACCCACUCCAGUCAGAGCUUCUCUCUUAACCACUCCAUGGAAACUGUCUCUGUAUCCAUAUGUUGAUGUGAUUAGUUAUAUUAAUACAUUCCCUAAUAUGGUGUCAUUCUGGCACUGACAGCAGUUUUCACUCUUUAAACUCAGUGCUGGAUUUGGUUUGCUAACGUUUCAUUUACAACUUUGGUUAGUAUCAGAUGGACGUGCUAUUUCCUUAAAACUCAGGAACGUAGGAAGAUCUUUCCAGUCCAUUUAAUUUCCUUGUUAAUUUAUAGAGGUUAGUUUCCUUGUAGAAAAUAGUUUUGUCUCUAUGUCAUUCAUGUCUCUCCCCAUGGGAUGUCUUUUAUUUGCCAAUAGAA
ensembl:lncRNA